CGCUAUACAAUCUUCGCACAAACACACAGCUCAGCCAGGCUCAGCUGGUGCUGCUUUUUGCACCGCGAGGAGAUUGCAAAUUUGAGAGCCUAGGCCUAGGACAGUAAAUUUCACAGGUAUGUGCCACAUUCAUUACAACGAUAAUGAGCAUUGGACAAUGUGAACUGGAGAUUCUUGUUGAACUCCGAGAAUUGAGUUUGAACUCUUCGGGGACAUUUUCUGUCGUGUUGUCUCUACAAAGUUCAGAUUCAGAAAAACUGACAAAAGACGUCUUUUUUGAGGUCGAUAAUCAUGGCAAAGAGCAGGGGCACAGUACAAAUAUAGGCAGUGUUGAAGUACCACAAGUUCUAGUUGGGAAGGCUGUGAAAUUUCAAAAGAAAGUAAAAUUUUAUAUUUCUAAAGGUAUUUUCAAGGAUGAUGAUGAAUCUUCCCUCAUCCUUCUGGUGGAUGUCUUUAAAAAGAAUGAUGUUAACGUGAAAGAAUGCUCCUCUCGGGUAGUCAUCUUCCAGUCUCCUGGUUCUCUACCAGAACCUGGUCCUGAUAUGACAGUUACCAGUGUCAAAAAGAACAUUCUAAACUUGACAAGUAAACUGCCAGACGAAGGCAUAACGAUUCACAUUGGUCGGGUCAUUUGCAGUUAUUCAUUGAAGGCUAACAAAGUUAAGCAAACCCCUGAACCAAGUCCUGAACCAAGUCCUGAACCUACACUUCCACCACCACCUCCACUAUUACCAACAGCAGAAGUUGAAGAUAAACCAAAAGAAGAUGUUAAAAAAACUCUACCCAAGAAAAAAGGUUCUGAACGGUACCGUAGACAUAUCGUGUCACAACUUGGCAGAGAAGAGGUCAUUGUUCAUGUGCAUGCUGCAAGCGGACUUCCAAAUUUGUUACAAGAUUCAAGCCCACCUUUCCCGUAUGUUUCAGGGACUACAAAGUCGGAUGAAGAUGCAGGGGUGUCCCCUCAACAAACUACAAGUAUUGCCAAAACGCCGACAUUUUUCCCAAGCUGGGAGGAAACAAUUGUUAUAGAAAUAGAUGAGGUAGAUUCUGAUACAGAAGAAGUUGUUUUGUUGGUGAAUGAUCUCACAAGUCAAAGCACUCUAAUAAGGUAUCAAAUACCUGUUGUUUACCUGAAGCCAUUCCAUCAGUAUCACCUGGACCUUAUUCAGGAGGGCGUUGGAUUUGAAACACAUUUGUAUGCUUCUAUCCUACACCGAACUUGUCGUCUCCAGCUGCUUGAUGCUCUAACAUACAGCGGUGUUGAAAUCACUCUUUGCUCUUUGGCUCGUAAAAUAUCAAAUGUUUCUGAUCCCUUGAUGGCUGUUAUAAGAAUAGUUCCAGAUUAUUAUGUUUUAAGGAAGGAAAUAGAGACACGUAAAUAUAUUAAUGAGCUUCAUCCCCGUCCUGUGCACUGUCCGGUUCGAGAACUUGACUUCACAGCAGCCAACUUAAAGCAUAGUAAUCCACAGAUUUCUCUUCCACUGGCACAAACCGGGUCGAGUUGGGAGCAGCAGUUGUUAUUCUGUGAGCCUCGCCUGAUGGCGUCAACCUUUACUGCCACGUCUGCUCUGAUUGUUGAAUACUAUAGCACAAUUACAGCAUUUGAAAGCAGUAAAUGGUACCUGGAUAAAAGUCUUGGAUAUUCAACUAUGCUUCUUAACAAACAUGUGUACAAUGCAUUAAAAUCAGAGCGUGGUAGAAAAGGUAUUCGUGUUGAGAACUUGUCCUUAAAAGGGACAAGUUUACAUACUGAGAACGACCAUAUUCCAGCUAUCAACCUUGUUCUUCGUCUAAUUUCAGAAGAGCAUCCCAGUUCACUACUUAAUGCUAGUUACGUUGAUGAUCUGCCUAAACUCGAGCAUUUUUCGAUGGAGGCUGAGCGACUUCCACCUCCUCCAUCACCAAGCCCAACACCAUUACCAAGCCCAACACCAUCACCUCCACCAAAGAAAGAAUCAUCACCAAGAAUUCCAUUACCAACCAAAACACCAGUUCAAAAGAAAAUACCUUUCAGAGAUGGAGAAACACCGCCACCCAUACCACUAUACCACAACCCAGUGGUACACUCACCAAAACCAAGAGCAUAUAAAUUGGUCUUGAAGGAGGAUGAAUUACCACCACUGGAUGCAGUGCAAAAUCUCCUUCCCGACUCCCAUCGGGUCAUUUUGGAUCCGGAUCAAAGGUACCAGGACCAUCCAGGCUUAAUCCCAACAAGAUUACCACCUAAAGACCUUAACGAUGAUCCACCUCGUGAACCUAAAUCCAAGUCUCGUCAAACACCUCCAGACCGAUACGCAAUAACUCUGCUAGAUCAUCAACAGAGGGAGCUAGACAACUAUAAAACAGCCAUGAAGCGAAUGGGUGAUGAGAUUGUGAAGUUACAGGAGGAGAUAACAAGACUGGAGGUUGUGAACAGUAAGCUGCGUCAGCAGAUCAACAUGCACGAGGACACAACGAGGGCUCUGCUAAGAGAUUCAGAACUUACAGACAUUCCAAGGAAUGAGUUGGUUCAACGAUAUGCAUCUCUGAGGGAUAAAUUAUCAAGUCAAGUAAGAGAAGCCACAUCUUACAGGGACAAGCUACUGCAACUACAGAAUGAACUAAUUAGGCAUAAUGACAGAGAAAAGGAGUUUAUAAAUCUUCAAGAGGCCCACUUCAAACAGUCAGCCAUUUUACAGAGAUUUCAAGAAAAGCAGCAGAAAAUUAAGAAAUUGGAAGAAACUUGUCGUAAGCAGGAAGAAGUGAUUGAGAAGAUGGAGAAGUUACUAAAGGGAAAAAUUAGAAAAGGAAAAGAUGAAGCAACUCCUAAGUUAGAUGCCAAAGAGGCUUUUUUAGCAGAAAAUUCACGUUUGAGGUCAGAGAUCAAUCAGAUGAAAAAUAAAUCACAAAUUAAAGAAGUGUCAUUUGAUGAUGCUGAGCGAAUGGAGCUGUAUAGUAAACUCGAUAGAUCUGAUGGUCGCAUACGAACUUUGGAAAGAGCCGUACGUGAAAAUGCGCGGAAAUGGGGGCAAGAAAAGGAAGAGCUUUUGUUACGAUUGAAUGAGCAAAAUCACCGGGCUUCUUUACCACCAGUAAAUAGAAGCUACUAUAGAUAUGAUGAUGAAGAUGACUUUGAGGACAGAGUAUUCCCAAAACAUCGGACAAGAUUAAGACCUAGAGGUAGAUAUGGUUCACCUCACUUAGAACCUUUGAUGUAAAAGUAUCAUUCAACAUCAGCUGAGUAAUGCAGUACCGACAUCCAACUGAAAAACAAGCAGCAUUAGCUCGAGGUCAUCACUGUUGAUUUUGGUUGUGGAGUUCUGAACAUGAAUUCAUUAUGAGUGUUCCUUUUGGAGGGAGCAAGCAAGUUAUUGAGGUCUCCACAUGGUCCAGGAAUCACCACUUCUGGCUUCUGGUGAAGGAUCUCUGAAAGUGAUUAAUCCAGUCAAGUUUUGAUUUCAUUGAAACAAAAUUAUUGUCAUCGGAUAAAUAAUGUGCAUGGUCUAAAAGUCAUUACUUCUGGGUUCUGGUGAGAUUUUGAAUGUGAUAAAUUCUGCUAAGAGUUUCUUUCAAACAAAGAAAAGUAUGGAUGGUUGACACAAACUCUAUCUGGUCUUGAUGUUGAUUAAUAAUUUUAACAUCAGGGUGUAAUACAUCCAGUCCAGAUUGAUACUUUUGGCUUCAGGCCAGUCAAGUUUUUUUCUUUCAGUAGAGAAAAUCUAUUGAUAUCUGAGACAUAAUUCACAUGUUGUCCACUUUUGGUUUCAUUUUGGGUUUUUUAAACGUAUUUAACAAGGGUGCUAAUCCAGUACAACUGAUAAUUUGGAUUCCUCAAUUCUCUACAAUAGUCUCAUAAGGAUUUUAAAGUAGAGAACUGAAUAUUUAGGACUUUGAUCCAUGCAAUCAAGUAAUAUGAGAUAUCUGUACUGACAAAAAGAUUAAAACACUCAAAAAUCAGAAGAGGAACAUAACCACACACAGCACACUGUUUCAACAUGAAGGUAUUAUUAGGCCAAAAAAAAAUAAAUUGUUUGUUUGCCCUCCUCCACCCGCCUCUAACUCACUAAAAAAAAAAAUAGGGGCG
rnacentral:misc_RNA from 1 species